CCUACGGGUGGCAGCAGUGAGGAAUAUUGGUCAAUGGCCGAGAGGCUGAACCAGCCAAGUCGCGUGAGGGAAGACGGCCCUACGGGUUGUAAACCUCUUUUGUCGGGGAGCAAGGCCCGCCACGUGUGGCGGGAAGGAGAGUACCCGAAGAAAAAGCAUCGGCUAACUCCGGGCCAGCAGCCGCGGUAAUACGGAGGAUGCGAGCGUUAUCCGGAUUUAUUGGGUUUAAAGGGUGCGUAGGCGGAAGGUUAAGUCAGCGGUAAAAUGUCGGUGCUCAACACCGGCCUGCCGUUGAAACUGGUCGUCUUGAGUGAGCGAGAAGUAUGCGGAAUGCGUGGUGUAGCGGUGAAAUGCAUAGAUAUCACGAAGAACUCCGAUUGCGAAGGCAGCUCACUGGACUGCAACUGACACUGAGGCUCGAAAGUGUGGGUAUCAAACAGGAUUAGAUACCCUUGUAGUC
rnacentral:rRNA from 1 species